AUGACUUUCGAGGUUGACGAGAAGGCUUAUCUUCGGGUCACCCCUCUGAAGGGAACCCAUCGUUUCGGUAUCAAAGGCAAAUUGGCUCCUCGUUACAUUGGACCUUUUCGCAUUCUUGCCAAACGAGGAGAAGUUGCCUACCAGUUGGAACUACCUCCGCACCUCUCCAGAGUUCACGAUGUCUUCCACGUUUCUCAACUCAGGCGUUGCUUCUCGGAUCCUAUCCGUGAAGUGGACCACGAAACGCUUGAUCUCCAAGAUGAUCUUACAUAUCGAGAGUACCCCAUUCGUAUCCUCGAUCAAGCCGAACGUACCACGCGACGUCAUAAUAUCAAGUUUCUCAAGGUUCAAUGGUCGCACCAUUCUGAGGAUGAAGCAACUUGGGAAAGGGAGGAUCGUCUUCGACUUGAAUAUCCCGCCUUCUUCUUGGAGGAACCCAAAUCUCGGGACGAGAUUCUUUUGAGUGGGGGUGAGUUGUCACACCCUAGCUAG
rnacentral:rRNA from 1 species